CGCGGGUUGCGCGCCCUCUGCUCCGGAGCCCGCUGCCCCGCGUCCUGACUGCUGCCCUGCAUCCCUCGCCGGGCCAGGCGUCGAGAGCCAACAUGGGCCAGGAAGAGGAGCUGCUGAGGAUCGCCAAAAAGCUGGAGAAGAUGGUGGCCAGGAAGAACACGGAAGGGGCCCUUGACCUUCUGAAGAAGCUGAACAGCUGUCAGAUGUCCAUCCAGCUGCUGCAGACGACCAGGAUUGGAGUUGCCGUCAACGGGGUUCGCAAGCACUGCUCAGACAGGGAGGUGGUGUCCUUGGCCAAGGUCCUCAUCAAAAACUGGAAGCGAUUGCUGGACUCCCCAGGACAUCCCAAAGGGGAAAAAGGAGAGGAAAGAGAGAAAGCCAAGAAGAAAGAGAAAGACCUCGACUGUUCAGAUUGGAAGCCCGAAGCAGGCCUUUCUCCCCCAAAAAAGAAAAGAAGAGAAGAGCCCCCAAACAGGAGAGACUCUGUGGACUCCAAGUCUUCCACCACCUCCUCUCCAAAAAGGCCUGCGAUGGAAAGAUCAAACAGCAGCAGAUCAAGAGCAGAGACCCCUAAAACACCCAGCAGCCCCUCCACUCCCACGUUUGCCCCCUCCGUCUGCCUCCUGGCGCCCUGCUAUCUCACAGGGGACUCUGUCCGGGACAAGUGUGUGGAGAUGCUGUCAGCGGCCCUGAGGGCAGAAGAUGAUUACAAGGAUUAUGGAGUCAACUGCGACAAGAUGGCUUCAGAAAUUGAAGAUCAUAUCUACCAGGAGCUCAAGAGCACAGACAUGAAAUACCGGAACCGCGUGCGCAGCCGCAUCAGCAACCUUAAGGACCCCAGGAACCCUGGCUUGAGGCGGAAUGUGCUCAGCGGGGCCAUUUCUGCUGGACUCAUAGCCAAGAUGACAGCAGAGGAAAUGGCCAGUGACGAGCUGAAGGAGUUGAGGAACGCCAUGACCCAGGAGGCCAUCCGGGAGCACCAGAUGGCCAAGACCGGCGGCACCACCACCGAUCUCUUCCAGUGCAGCAAAUGCAAGAAGAAGAACUGCACCUAUAACCAGGUACCGGUGCUGCAGGCUGGGCCUGCGGAGGAGGAGCCAGGGACGGUGGAGGUGGUGAGCCAGAGAGAUGCUUCGGAAGGAGCCCGGGGAGAAAGGGCUGAGGUUCUCCAGGCCGCAGAGACAAGGGCCAGGCUUGGGAUACCACAGUGGUGCUUCUGCGGCUUCUAGAACAUUUUCUGGCUGUAGAACAGCUGGCUGUGUGAUGGGGAGGUGGGACCAGUGUUUUCUGGCCUGCCCUGAGGUAAGAAUGAGAAGAGCCAGACACACAGGGGACCACCCCCGAGAGUCACUGAUGGCCGGAAGGGAACUGAGCCGUGUGGAGCCAGCUUCUUCGUUAUAACCAGGGAAACUAAGGCCCCUAGGGCCUCCAAGCCCCUUUUCCUCUCCAGGCCUCCGUCCUUCCAUUGGUAAAUUAAAGAUGAACGAGGUGAUUUCUAAAGUGCUCCCGGCUCACUCCCGCGCUGGUGGGCUGGGCACGUCUGUGUUCGGGGUGAGGCCUGCAUGCUGCCUGUGGGAGGCAACAGCAGAGCGGUCAGUUUGGAAAGAUCAACCCAAGGUGCUGGGGGCGACUCAUGGACGGCCCGGGGAGAGGGAGGUAUAAGUUAGGGAAUUGCCAAAGUGGGACAGGAAUAUCAGUGCCAACCCCUGGGAUCUGGACCUACUAGACAGGGGAAGCCAUAGCAGGUUCUAGAUCAGCAGAGCGACUUCACGGCUGGCUGUCUCUCAGGUGCAAACGCGCAGUGCCGACGAGCCCAUGACCACCUUCGUCCUGUGCAAUGAAUGCGGGAAUCGCUGGAAGUUCUGCUGACAGGACCGCCCGCCAGGACCGCAGCAUCCGAAGGCAAAGAACAGAGAGGGCGAGCUGAGCCACCGAACUGGAGAAAAAUAAAAGUUAAAA